rnacentral:rRNA from 1 species
GACGAACGCUGGCGGCGUGCUUAACACAUGCAAGUCGAACGGAAAGGCCCUGCUUUUGUGGGGUGCUCGAGUGGCGAACGGGUGAGUAACACGUGAGUAACCUGCCCUUGACUUUGGGAUAACUUCAGGCAACUGGGGCUACUACCGGAUAGGAGCUCCUGCUGCAUGGUGGGGGUUGGAAAGUUUCGGCGGUUGGGGAUGGACUCGCGGCUUAUCAGCUUGUUGGUGGGGUAGUGGCUUACCAAGGCUUUGACGGGUAGCCGGCCUGAGAGGGUGACCGGCCACAUGGGGACUGAGAUACGGCCCAGACUCCUACGGGAGGCAGCAGUGGGGAAUAUUGCACAAUGGGCGGAAGCCUGAUGCGGAAACGCCGCGUUCGGGAUGACGGCCUUCGGGUUGUAAACCGCUUUCGCCUGUGACGAAGCGGGAGUGACGGUAAUGAGUAAAGAAGCACCGGCUAACUACGUG